rnacentral:rRNA from 1 species
ACAUACGACCAUACCCACGUGAAAACACGGGAUCCCGUCCGCUCUCCCUUAGUUAAACACGUGAGGGCCCGAGUAGUAGUUGGGUCGGUGACGACCAGCGAAUGUCGGGUGUUGUAUGUU